GAUGAACGCUGGCGGCGUGCCUAAUACAUGCAAGUAGAACGCUGAAGCUUGGUGCUUGCACCGAGCGGAUGAGUUGCGAACGGGUGAGUAACGCGUAGGUAACCUGCCUGGUAGCGGGGGAUAACUAUUGGAAACGAUAGCUAAUACCGCAUAACAGUAGAUGUUGCGUGACAUCUAUUUGAAAGGGGCAAUUGCUCCACUACCAGAUGGACCUGCGUUGUAUUAGCUAGUUGGUGAGGUAACGGCUCGCCAAGGCGACGAUACAUAGCCGACCUGAGAGGGUGAUCGGCCACACUGGGACUGAGACACGGCCCAGACUCCUACGGGAGGCAGCAGUAGGGAAUCUUCGGCAAUGGACGGAAGUCUGACCGAGCAACGCCGCGUGAGUGAAGAAGGUUUUCGGAUCGUAAAGCUCUGUUGUAAGAGAAGAACGAGUGUGAGAGUGGAAAGUUCACACUG
rnacentral:rRNA from 1 species